rnacentral:rRNA from 1 species
UUAAAGAGUUCUAUAACUCCCAAACCCAUGUGAACAUACCUAACGUUGCCUCGGCAGGUCGCACCUACCUUGUAGCACCCUACCCUGUAGGGCCUACCCGGGAGGUGCGGGUAAGCCUGCCGGCGGCCCACCAAACUCUGUUUGAUAUUGAAUUCUGAACAUAUAACUAAAUAAGUUAAAACUUUCAACAACGGAUCUCUUGGUUCUGGCAUCGAUGAAGAACGCAGCGAAAUGCGAUAAGUAAUGUGAAUUGCAGAAUUCAGUGAAUCAUCGAAUCUUUGAACGCAUAUUGCGCCCAUUAGUAUUCUAGUGGGCAGGACCGUUCGAGCGUCAUUUCGACCCUUAAGCCUUAGUUGCUUAGUGUUGGGAGCCUACGGCAACGUAGCUCCUCAAAGUUAGUGGCGGAGUUGGUUCACACUCUAGACGUAGUAAUUUUUUAUCUCGCCUAUUAGUUGGACUGAUCCCCUGCCGUAAAACCCCCAACUUAUCAAGGUUGACCUCGAAUCGGUUCAGACAAACUCGCUAAAUUGAAGCAUCUUAGUCAGCGAAGGAAAAGAAACCAACAGGGAUUGCCCUAGUAACGGCGAGUGAAGCGGCAACAGCUCAAAUUUGAAAUCUGGCCCUCGGGUCCGAGUUGUAAUUUGUAGAGGAUGCUUUUGGCGCGGUGCCU